AGCAGCCGCGGUAAUUCCAGCUCCAAUAGCGUAUAUUAAAGUUGUUGCAGUUAAAAAGCUCGUAGUUGAAUUUCGGGGUCAGUAGAUUGGUCGUGCCACUGGUAUGUACUGGUCUCACUGAUUCCUCCUUCCUGAUGAGCCGUAAUGCCAUUAAUUUGGUGUUGCGAGGAAUCUGGACUGUUACUUUGAAAAAUUAGAGUGUUUAAAGCAGGCUAACGCUUGAAUACGUUAGCAUGGAAUAACGAAAUAGGACGUUUGAUUUUAUUUUGUUGGUUUCUAGGAUCGACGUAAUGAUUAAUAGGGAUAGUUGGGGGCAUUAGUAUUCAAUUGUCAGAGGUGAAAUUCUUGGAUUUAUUGAAGACUAACUACUGCGAAAGCAUUUGCCAAGGAUGUUUUCAUUAAUCAAGAACGAAAGUUAGGGGAUCGAAGACGAUCAGAUACCGUCGUAGUCUUAACCAUAAACUAUGCCGACUAGGGAUCGGAUGAUGUUAAUUUUUAAUGUACUCA
rnacentral:rRNA from 1 species